rnacentral:rRNA from 1 species
CAGUCGCCACGGGAACACGAAGGGUGCAAGCGUUACUCGGAAUUACUGGGCGUAAAGCGUGUGUAGGUGGUUGUUUAAGUCUGUCGUGAAAGCCCUGGGCUCAACCUGGGAAUUGCGAUGGAUACUGGGCGACUAGAGUGCGGUAGAGGAUAGUGGAAUUUCCGGUGUAGCAGUGAAAUGCGUAGAGAUCGGAAGGAACAUCUGUGGCGAAGGCGACUAUCUGGGCCAACACUGACACUGAGACACGAAAGCGUGGGGAGCAAACAGGAUUAGAUACCCGCGUAGUCCCUGUCUCUUAUAC